rnacentral:rRNA from 1 species
GACGAACGCUGGCGGCGUGCCUAAUACAUGCAAGUCGAGCGAACCAAUAAGAAGCUUGCUUUUUGUUGGUUAGCGGCGGACGGGUGAGUAACACGUGGGUAACCUGCCUGUAAGACCGGGAUAACUCCGGGAAACCGGUGCUAAUACCGGAUAGAUUAUCUUUCCGCAUGGAGAGAUAAGGAAAGAUGGCUAUUGCCAUCACUUACAGAUGGGCCCGCGGCGCAUUAGCUAGUUGGUGAGGUAACGGCUCACCAAGGCGACGAUGCGUAGCCGACCUGAGAGGGUGAUCGGCCACACUGGGACUGAGACACGGCCCAGACUCCUACGGGAGGCAGCAGUAGGGAAUCUUCCGCAAUGGACGAAAGUCUGACGGAGCAACGCCGCGUGAGCGAAGAAGGUCUUUGGAUCGUAAAGCUCUGUUGUUAGGGAAGAACAAGUAUCGGAGGAAAUGCCGGUACCUUGACGGUACCUGACGAGAAAGCCACGGCUAACUACGUG